rnacentral:rRNA from 1 species
GUGAGGAAUAUUGGGCAAUGGGCGAAAGCCUGACCCAGCCACGCCGCGUGAGUGAUGAAGGCCUUCGGGUUGUAAAGCUCUGUGGGGAGGGAAGAAAAAGCGGGAGAGUAACUGCUCUCGUGUUGACGGUACCUCCUUAGCAAGCACCGGCUAACUCUGUGCCAGCAGCCGCGGUAAUACAGAGGGUGCAAACGUUGCUCGGAAUUACUGGGCGUAAAGCGAGUGUAGGCUGACAUGCAAGUCGGGUGUGAAAUCCCAGGGCUCAACCUUGGAACUGCACUCGAAACUGCACGUCUUGAGUACUGGAGAGGGAAGCGGAAUUCCGGGUGUAGAGGUGAAAUUCGUAGAUAUCCGGAGGAACACCAGUGGCGAAGGCGGCUUCCUGGACAGUAACUGACGCUGAGACGCGAAAGCGUGGGGAGCAAACAGGAUUAGAUACCCGAGUAGUCC